AAUUAUCUCGACUAUUGUCGGAUUUGGACGUUGUUGGAUUUAUUACAACUCGUCUUGAAAUUGAUUAGUGUCUGAGUGGCUUUUAGUGAAUGGUGUAAUAAAUUUGUAUUUCACUAUUGACUAAUAGUGCAUAUAGGUCGCUUCUAAUACGACUACUAUUAC
rnacentral:misc_RNA from 1 species